UAAGUAGGACAGGCGAUCGCAGCCACGGAAACGUGGGUGAGGAAAGUCCGGGCUUCACAGGGCAGGAUGCCGGAUAACGUCCGGUGGAGGUGACUCCAAGGCCAGUGCAACAGAAAUAUACCGCCAGGAGAUAAUUGUGAAACAAUUUUCUCCCGGUAAGGGUGGAAAGGCAGCUUAAGAGACUACCGUCCGUCUAGUAACAGGCGGAGCCAUGUAAACCCCAUCCGAAGCAAGACCAAAACGAAAGCUAUAGGCUUGCCCGGCCUGCUUUCAGGUAGGUCGCUGGAGGCACCUGGCAACAGGUGUCCUAGAUAGAUGAUCGCUCAACGACAUAACCCGGCUUAUCGUCCUGCUUACUAU
rnacentral:RNase_P_RNA from 1 species